GACGAACGCUGGCGGCGUGCUUAACACAUGCAAGUCGAACGGAAAGGCCCUGCUUUUGUGGGGUGCUCGAGUGGCGAACGGGUGAGUAACACGUGAGUAACCUGCCCUUGACUUUGGGAUAACUUCAGGAAACUGGGGCUAAUACCGGAUAGGAGCUCCUGCUGCAUGGUGGGGGUUGGAAAGUUUCGGCGGUUGGGGAUGGACUCGCGGCUUAUCAGCUUGUUGGUGGGGUAGCGGCUUACCAAGGCUUUGACGGGUAGCCGGCCUGAGGGGGUGACCGGCCACAUUGGGACUGAGAUACGGCCCAGACUCCUACGGGAGGCAGCAGUGGGGAAUAUUGCACAAUGGGCGGAAGCCUGAUGCAGCAACGCCGCGUGCGGGAUGACGGCCUUCGGGUUGUAAACCGCUUUCGCCUGUGACGAAGCGUGAGUGACGGUAAUGGGUAAAGAAGCACCGGCUAACUACGUG
rnacentral:rRNA from 1 species